GAUGUAAACACUGCCAGAGCUGGGGAGAGGACGGCAUGCCAGUUUUAGGAUCAGACUUCUCCCAAGGGGAGAAGGGCUGAACCAACACCCGUGGUUUAAACUCUCAUAACUGACAACCUGCUCUAGUUUACGAAACAACCUCACUUGGUCCCCACUCAGCUAACGACGAUGAAUCGAAGCAACAUUUGCUGAAUGAAGCUGA